CUAUUUUUUCCUCCUCGGCUCUGCCUACCCACAAUGCCCCGCGAAAACCCUACAAUGAAAUUUAAGAAGUUUUUUAGGUUUCGGCGCCAUUUUCGAUUGGACUGAGAGUCUAUACAGAAGCUGAAGCAAAUGUGACAUUACAGGCUCUUAUGAUUUCAUAACUACUGGCAUCCACAAGUUGAUUUCUUUUCAGCUGGUAUUCUGGCAGUGAGUUGGAACAGAAGCUUUCUCCAGGUGUCUGCAAGAUUUUGUCUUCAGUGUUUGAUGCCCAAAAAAUCCUCCAGUGUUUGCCUUUGGACUGUCAUGUGGUUGAGAAUGCUUUAAGGUGAAGUAGCAGCACAUCAUGGUUUGUAGAAACAAGGAGAUACAGACCAUUCUGAGCUGCCUCUUUGUCUUGAAGAGUAACCCAAAUGUGCUUGAGAUCCUGAUCUUCGUGGAGAAGGGACUGUCUGACCUUGCCUAACUCUAGACCCUAUCAGUAUAUUUUUCACAUUCAGUUAAAGCUUUUUAUAUCCAUUUGUUUUUUGGUAAUUUUUUUUAUUUUUUGUCUUGCAUUUACUUCCUGGAGAAACAAGGCAAGUAAUGAAUUUUAAAGCAGUUUUGCAACUUUUAAUAAAAUGGUGAAAAACCCAGCUACUGAACUACAAGGGUGCCCUGCUGGGCAAACAGUGAUCAGCAAUAUCCUUGGACUCCAAAAAGCCUUUCGAGGCCACUGCAAUGUUUAAAGUUGCGCAGCCAUUGUUGGCACAGUGAGCACUGUGAAAUUCGCUGUUUUUAGGCCUCUUGCACAUCAACGUAAGCAUCUAUGGAUGUUUAUAUCUUGCUGGCAGAAAGAUCCUGUGUAAAGAAAACACAAGCGUGCAUCUGAACGCAUAGCUGCAUUGCAUGCCCAUCUGUGUACAUUGUCCCAUAGAGAACAAGUGCUAUGUUCAGGUCUAUAAAGUAAAAAUCGUUGCGUGGCUACAAA